rnacentral:rRNA from 1 species
AAGAGAGAGACAUGCGCGCAUAUCAAUAAGCGGAGGAAAAGAAACUAACAAGGAUUCCCCUAGUAACGGCGAGUGAAGCGGGAAGAGCUCAAAUUUGAAAUCUUAAAGGGUUUCCCUUUACGAAUUGUAGUUUAAAGAAGUGUUUUCUGUUGAGGUUUUGGUAAAAGUUCUUUGGAAUAGGACAUCAUAGAGGGUGAGAAUCCCGUAUUUGACCAUUUACUUUCAGCUUUGUGAUACACUUUCAAAGAGUCGGAUUGUUUGGGAAUGCAGUCCAAAAUGGGUGGUAAAUUUCAUCUAAAGCUAAAUAUUGGCGAGAGACCGAUAGCGAACAAGUACCGUGAGGGAAAGAUGAAAAGAACUUUGAAAAGAGAUGUUAAACAGUACGUGGAAUUGUCAAAAGGGAAGCGUUUGACACCAGUGUUGUUUUUCUGAAAAUCAAUUAAAGAACUGUUUAUGCUAAGCUGUUUAGACUUUAUCAGCUAACUGUUUAGUUUUGAGCUUUUCCUUAAUGCACUUUUCAGUUAACAAGUCAACAUCAAUUUCUUUUGCUGUAAAAAAGCUUGAGGAAGGUGGCUUGAGAUUCGUCUUAAGUGUUUAUAGCCUCUUGCCUAUGCAGUCGGAGAGAUUGAGGUCUGCAGCGUAGAUCCUUCGGGGCUAAAUGCAUUUGUGCUAAGUUAUAGCAUUUUAUAGACAACUUGUUGACUAUGAUUUGUCUUGUAGCUUACUCGCUUAUGUUAUUUUACCUACGCUUAGGAUGUUGAGCGCAUGUCUCUCUCU